AAAAAAUCUAUGAAGGAGAAAAGUAGGCUGGAAACAACCCUUAAGGGAGGAGACGUCACCGACUGUAAGCGUCUUCAGGGUAUGACCCGCAGAAGUUCUCUCCGGAGAUGCAGGCUGAAGCCACCGCCUGAAAAACCAGGCAGCCGGUGUGUAGGCUGGGCCGCAAUUCCUGCGUUAAAGGGAAGGGGUAUCGGAUCAAUUUCCCGUACCUUAUAAGUGGGCUAGCCUUAUCCGGAACGUCAUGAAAGACGGCGCCGUGAGGCGGCCAAUUAGGGUGGUAACACGGAUAACAAGGCUUUCCGUCCCUGAACAGGGAUGGAAGGUUUUUUUAUUAUCCGGGGUAAUUUUUUCAGUACCUUUUUUAAGAGGGUCCGGUUUCGGACCAACAAGGGUGGUACCGCGGAAGUCUGCAACUUUCGUCCCUACG
rnacentral:ncRNA from 1 species